rfam:Lactobacillus suebicus DSM 5007 = KCTC 3549 strain DSM 5007 Scaffold7, whole genome shotgun sequence.
UCGUUUGAUAAUUGACAUCGACUUGUUCGUUGGCGAUUACCAAGGAGUACUUCAUUAAAGCAGCGUUUCGCCGUGCCCACACCGAGACCCUGCUUUUUUAU